GAAACCAACCCUAAGAAUCCAUAUCUAUAAAAUCUUCAUUAAUGGUAACAAGUUAUUGGUGUAUACAUAGAUAUUGUUAGAGAUCUUAGAUUUAAUUGAGUUAUUGGUGUAGUCAGUUUUGCUGCAUAUCAGUAGUACUAGAUUUAGGGUAUCAUGCAAUAUGCUAUUUUCCCCUAGACUCUUCAUGAUGUCUAAAACCCCUUUUCUAAGGUUAGGGUUUUCCAAAUGAGGUUUUCCACUCAGGAGGACAAGAAGCCGCCUCCUAUUUUUUAAAUUCUCCUCCUCUGUCUUUCCUUUAUGACAGAAAUUAAUCUUUGCAGAAGCCCCCCUUCUGCAUGCUGCUCUCCUGCACAUUGGUAUAAAAAAACUAUCCUCUAAGUCACACAAAGGCAACAUCUAACAAGAAGUCACAUAAUACCAUCGUUCAUCACAUGAAUCCUAGAUGAGAAGUCACACAAUAGCCUUGAUUUGAUGAACACAAGGGAUUGCCCAUGUCAACACCCGUUGGGCACAAGCACCCUAUAUGAGCUGCCUCUCUGUGCUUCCCAAGCUCUCCACUUAGGCUUCUUUGCUCAAUCUCACCACCUUCAAUCAAGGUGGGAACAACUGAAGCAAGUAUUACAAAUCAAGAGGUGACACUGCCCAUCUUCCGCAAUAAAUAAACCACAACGUUCAGCUACCAUCUUCUUCAGCAGAUCCGCUCCUUUGCUCACAGGUAAUGAAGCCUCUCUUCCAGGUGUCCUCUUCGAUCAUUUUGUUCAUGAAUGUUUCUAGAUCUUUGCUUAUAUGAGCUCAAUGGGAAUGUUGGUUGCAAGCUCCAUUAACUCCUAAGUUAUGCGAACCUGUAUCUCUCCACUUAGGCUUCUUUGCUCAAUCUCACCACCUUCAAUCAAGGUGGGAACAACUGAAGCAAGUAUUACAAAUCAAGAGGUGACACUGCCCAUCUUCCGCAAUAAAUAAACCACAACGUUCAGCUACCAUCUUCUUCAGCAGAUCCGCUCCUUUGCUCACAGGUAAUGAAGCCUCUCUUCCAGGUGUCCUCUUCGAUCAUUUUGUUCAUGAAUGUUUCUAGAUCUUUGCUUAUAUGAGCUCAAUGGGAAUGUUGGUUGCAAGCUCCAUUAACUCCUAAGUUAUGCGAACCUGUAUGUGAGUAUUAUGCUUUCCUUUCUGUAUUCUCAUAUCUAGUUUAUCUUUUUCUUAUGAGAAGUUCCUAGUUAUGUUGAACAAAUAUUAUUUAUAUUC